GAGAGAGUAAGACAACACUGAAAAAUUGCUAGUUUUUCAGAACCGCAGUUUAAAUCCGCGGCUCACUCG
rnacentral:tRNA from 2 species